rnacentral:rRNA from 1 species
GACAGAGGUGCCGAGCGUUAGGCGGAAUCACUGGGCUUAAAGCGUGUGUAGGCGGGUCCGUAAGUACCUUGUGAAAUCCCAUGGCUCAACCAUGGAACUGCUUGGUAUACUGCGGAUCUUGAGCCACCUAGGGGCAAGUGGAACAAACGGUGGAGCGGUGAAAUGCGUAGAUAUCGUUUGGAACGCCAAUGGUGAAAACAACUUGCUGGGGGUGUGCUGGACGCUGAGACACGAAAGCCAGGGGGAGCAAACGGG